GAUGAACGCUGACAGAAUGCUUAACACAUGCAAGUCAACUUGAAUUUGGGUUUUUAACUUAGAUUUGGGUGGCGGACGGGUGAGUAACGCGUAAAGAACUUGCCUCACAGCUAGGGACAACAUUUAGAAAUGAAUGCUAAUACCUGAUAUUAUGAUUUUAAGGCAUCUUAGAAUUAUGAAAGCUAUAAGCACUGUGAGAGAGCUUUGCGUCCCAUUAGCUAGUUGGAGAGGCAACAGCUCACCAAGGCGAUGAUGGGUAGCCGGCCUGAGAGGGUGAACGGCCACAAGGGGACUGAGACACGGCCCUUACUCCUACGGGAGGCAGCAGUGGGGAAUAUUGGACAAUGGACCGAGAGUCUGAUCCAGCAAUUCUGUGUGCACGAUGAAGUUUUUCGGAAUGUAAAGUGCUUUCAGUUGGGAAGAAAAAAAUGACGGUACCAACAGAAGAAGUGACGGCUAAAUACGUGCCAGCAGCCGCGGUAAUACGUAUGUCACGAGCGUUAUCCGGAUUUAUUGGGCGUAAAGCGCGUCUAGGUGGUUAUGUAAGUCUGAUGUGAAAAUGCAGGGCUCAACUCUGUAUUGCGUUGGAAACUGUAUAACUAGAGUACUGGAGAGGUAAGCGGAACUACAAGUGUAGAGGUGAAAUUCGUAGAUAUUUGUAGGAAUGCCGAUGGGGAAGCCAGCUUACUGGACAGAUACUGACGCUAAAGCGCGAAAGCGU
rnacentral:rRNA from 1 species